rnacentral:rRNA from 1 species
GUGGCAGACGGGUGAGUAAUGUAUAGGAAUCUACCUAGUAGUACGGAAUAAUUGUUGGAAACGACAACUAAUACCGUAUACGCCCUACGGGGGAAAAAUUUAUUGCUAUUAGAUGAGCCUAUAUUAGAUUAGCUAGUUGGUGGGGUAAUAGCCUACCAAGGUAAUGAUCUAUAGCUGAUCUGAGAGGAUGAUCAGCCACACUGGAACUGAGAUACGGUCCAGACUCCUACGGGAGGCAGCAGUGGGGAAUAUUGGACAAUGGGCGAAAGCCUGAUCCAGCCAUGCCGCAGAGUGAAGAAGGCCUUUGGGUUGUAAAGCUCUUUUAGUGAGGAAGAUAAUGACGGUACUCACAGAAGAAGUCCUGGCUAACUCCGUGCCAGCAGCCGCGGUAAUACGGAGAGGGCUAGCGUUAUUCGGAAUUAUUGGGCGUAAAGGGCGCGUAGGCUGGUUAAUAAGUUAAAAGUGAAAUCCCGAGGCUUAACCUUGGAAUUGCUUUUAAAACUAUUAAUCUAGAGAUUGAAAGAGGAUAGAGGAAUUCCUGAUGUAGAGGUAAAAUUCGUAAAUAUUAGGAGGAACACCAGUGGCGAAGGCGUCUAUCUGGUUCAAAUCUGACGCUGAAGCGCGAAGGCGUGGGGAGCAAACAGGAUUAGAUACCCUGGUAGUCCACGCUGUAAACGAUGAAUGUUAAAUAUGGGGAGUUUACUUUCUGUAUUACAGCUAACGCGUUAAACAUUCCGCCUGGGGACUACGGUCGCAAGAUUAAAACUCAAAGGAAUUGACGGGGACCCGCACAAGCGGUGGAGCAUGUGGUUAAUUCGAUGCAACGCGA